GACGAACGCUGGCGGCGUGCUUAACACAUGCAAGUCAAACGGAAAGGCCCUGCUUUUGUGGGGUGCUCGAGUGGCGAACGGGUGAGUAACACGUGAGUAACCUGCCCUUGACUUUGGGAUAACUUCAGGAAACUGGGGCUAAUACCGGAUAGGAGCUCCUGCUGCAUGGUGGGGGUUGGAAAGUUUCGGCGGUUGGGGAUGGACUCGCGACUUAUCAGCUUGUUGGUGGGGUAGUGGCUUACCAAGGCUUUGACGGGUAGCCGGCCUGAGAGGGUGACCGGCCACAAUGGGACUGAGAUGCCGCCCAGACUCCUACGGGAGGCAGCAGGGGGGAAUAUUGCACAAUGGGCGGAAGCCUGAUGCAGCAACGCCGGGUGCGGGAUGACGGCCUUCGGGUUUUAAACCGCUUUCGCCUGUGACGAAGCGUGAGUGACGGUAAUGGGUAAAGAAGCACCGGCUAACUACGUG
rnacentral:rRNA from 1 species